rnacentral:rRNA from 1 species
UACGUAGGGGGCAAGCGUUAUCCGGAAUCAUUGGGCGUAAAGGGCGCGUAGGCGGAUAGUUUAGUCAGAGGUGAAAGCCCAGGGCUCAACCUUGGAACUGCCUUUGAUACUGGCUAUCUUGAGUUCGGGAGAGGUGAGUGGAAUGCCGAGUGUAGAGGUGAAAUUCGUAGAUAUUCGGCGGAACACCAGUGGCGAAGGCGACUCACUGGCCCGAUACUGACGCUGAGGCGCGAAAGCGUGGGGAGCAAACAGG